rnacentral:rRNA from 1 species
CCUACGGGAGGCAGCAGUGGGGAAUAUUGGACAAUGGGGGGAACCCUGAUCCAGCCAUGCCGCGUGUGUGAAGAAGGCCCUCGGGUUGUAAAGCACUUUCAGUGAGGAAGAACGCCUGGUGGUUAAUACCCAUCAGGAAAGACAUCACUCACAGAAGAAGCACCGGCUAACUCCGGUGCCAGCAGCCGCGGUAAUACGGAGGGUGCGAGCGUUAAUCGGAAUUACUGGGCGUAAAGCGCGCGUAGGUGGCUUGAUAAGCCGGUUGUGAAAGCCCCGGGCUCAACCUGGGAACGGCAUCCGGAACUGUCAAGCUAGAGUGCAGGAGAGGAAGGUAGAAUUCCCGGUGUAGCGGUGAAAUGCGUAGAGAUCGGGAGGAAUACCAGUGGCGAAGGCGGCCUUCUGGACUGACACUGACACUGAGGUGCGAAAGCGUGGGUAGCAAACAGGAUUAGAUACCCUGGUAGUC